UCACUGCGUUUUGAGUCUCGAGACCCCUGUCGGAGAGACUAUGGCGCUCAACAAGAAUCACUCGGAGGGCGGCGGAGUGAUCGUCAAUAACACCGAGAGCAUCCUAAUGUCCUAUGAUCAUGUGGAACUCACAUUCAAUGACAUGAAGAACGUGCCAGAAGCCUUCAAAGGGACCAAGAAAGGCACCGUCUACCUUACCCCUUACCGGGUCAUCUUUCUGUCCAAGGGCAAGGAUGCCAUGCAGUCCUUCAUGAUGCCAUUUUAUCUCAUGAAAGACUGUGAGAUCAAGCAGCCCGUAUUUGGUGCAAACUACAUCAAGGGAACAGUGAAGGCGGAAGCGGGAGGUAGGUGAUGGGAACUCAGGGUCACGGAUGGGGCCUCCAGGGAGGUGCCCUGGGAACCUCUGACUGCUGCCGUGGGGGCAUCCCCUUCAGACUCUUAUCGCCCUAGCCAUGACCUCUUCCCAGCUCUGGGCUGCCAGCUGGUGGGGUUUGAUUGCCAAGAGCUGGGGAAAAUGCUGGCAUGAAAGACGGCAGCUCAGAUCAGCUUUUCAGAGCGUGAAGUCUGCAGAAGCCUGCAGACUGAGUCAAG
rnacentral:sRNA from 1 species